UACGUAGGGUGCAAGCGUUGUCCGGAAUUAUUGGGCGUAAAGAGCUCGUAGGCGGUUUGUCGCGUCUGCUGUGAAAACCUGAGGCUCAACCUCGGGCUUGCAGUGGGUACGGGCAGACUAGAGUGCGGUAGGGGUGACUGGAAUUCCUGGUGUAGCGGUGGAAUGCGCAGAUAUCAGGAGGAACACCGGUGGCGAAGGCGGUGAUCUGGGCCGGCACUGACGCUGAGGAGCGAAAGCGUGGGGAGCAAACAGG
rnacentral:rRNA from 1 species